rnacentral:rRNA from 1 species
UACAGAGGUCUCAAGCGUUGUUCGGAAUUACUGGGCGUAAAGGGUGCGCAGGCCGCGCGGGCAGUCAAAUGUGUAAUUCAGGGGCUCAACCCCUGCACUGCGCUUGAUACUUCCGCGCUCGAGCUUUGGAGAGGAGUCUGGAAUUCUCGGUGUAGCAGUGAAAUGCGUGGAUAUCGAGAAGAACACUUAGGGCGUAGGCAAGACUCUAGACAAAUGCUGACGCUCAUGCACGAAGGCUAGGGUAGCGAACGGG